rnacentral:lncRNA from 12 species
GGAAUCACAAUCACCUUGCUUUAAUUGUUCCUACAGCAGAAUAAUUUUAAAAAGAGGUUGUAAAAACUUCUUGGUUUUAAAUUGGACUAAGUGAAUUAACCAGGUACUUCAGCCUCUGAUCUGUUCAAUUAUGAUGACCCUGGAAAAAGAGCACACUGCCUGCAUCUGCAAGACCAUCUACUCACAUCAACAGGUAUUACAGUGUCAAAGGCAAACUGCUGUGUGGCAGCAGAUCUUCUGACAGCAUCUCCA